rnacentral:rRNA from 1 species
AGGCUUAACACAUGCAAGUCGAGGGGCAGCAUGAACUUAGCUUGCUAAGUUUGAUGGCGACCGGCGGACGGGUGCGUAACGCGUAUGCAACCUACCCUUUACUCGGGGAUAGCCUUUCGAAAGAAAGAUUAAUACCCGAUAGUAUAUUAAAACCGCAUGGUUUUACUAUUAAAGAAUUUCGGUUAUCGAUGGGGAUGCGUUCCAUUAGUUUGUUGGCGGGGUAACGGCCCACCAAGACUACGAUGGAUAGGGGUUCUGAGAGGAAGGUCCCCACAUUGGAACUGAGACACGGUCCAAACUCC